rnacentral:SRP_RNA from 1 species
GCCACAGGUCUGGGUCUAUAAUAACUGCUCCUGGGGAGGCUGAGGAUGGCAGAUUGCUUAGGCUCAGGAGUUCUGAGCUGCAGGCCAGCUAAAGCCAAUCAGGGGUCUGCACUAAGUCCAGCACCAAUAUAGUGAGCCAUUGGGAGCAAAAGAGGACUAGGUUGCCUAAGGAGAGGUGAACCAACUCAGCAAGAAAAUGGAGGUCAAUGCUCCUGUGCCAAUCAGUAGUGGAAGUGGGCCCAUGAGUGGCUGUUACACUUCCAGUCAGGGAAGGAUAGAAAGACCCAGUCUUCA